ensembl:lncRNA
NNNNNNNNNNNNNNNNNNNNNNNNNNNNNNNNNNNNNNNNNNNNNNNNNNNNNNNNNNNNNNNNNNNNNNNNNAUAUUAAAAAUCUAUUAAAAGAACAUAUUAAAAAUAAUUACCUUAUAGGAAUACCAACAGAAACAGUAUAUGGGUUAGGAGGUAAUUCAUUAAGUACUGAGUCAUUGAGUAACAUAUUUCGAAUGAAAAAUAGACCUACAAGUGAUCCUAUAAUUUCACAUGUAUAUGAUAUAUCACAAGCUUAUGAUAAAUUAUAUCAUAUAAAUGUUUUUGAAAAAUAUAUAAUUUAUAUAUUAGGUAAACACUUUUGGCCAGGACCAUUAUCAAUUAUUGCAAAAGCCAAAAAAAAUGUUCCUUUAAUUUUAACAGCUUAUACACAAUUUUGUGCCGUUCGUAUUCCUGAUAAUAUUAUUGCAAAAGAAAUAAUAAAAAUAUGCGAUACACCUAUAGCCGCACCAUCUGCCAACAAAUUUAAACAUAUAAGUCCAACUAAUUCUUUGCAUGUUUUGGAAGAAUUUAAAAAUGAAAAAAAUUUACUUAUUUUUGAUAGUGGACAGUGUGAUAUAGGUAUUGAAUCGACGGUCAUAAAAAUAACAAAGUACAAACACUCGAAAAAAAGUAAAAAGUUAUCUGUAAAUGGUAAUUUUACAAAUAAAAGUGUCACAGAUAAGGAUUAUGGUGAUUGUGAUGUGGAUGGUGACGAUGAAGUUGUGACAGAUUGCGAUUAUGAAUAUGAAUGUAAUACCGAAAUGUAUAAUAUGAAAAAAUCAUUAAAUUGUAUAUCUGAAACUAAUAAUAUGGAGGUAUAUGAAAGAUUGAAGAAUUAUUUUGAUACUAUAAGUAUGGGAACAUGUAACACAAAUGACGACAAUAACAGUUAUAGUAUAAUAAAUAAUUUAAUUAAAUAUAAGAACUUAUACAAAUAUGAAAUUAAAAUAUUUAGAAGAGGAAAAUAUACUAAAACUGAUAUUGAACGUGUGUUAAAAAAUAAUAUACUUUUAAAUAAUAUAGAAGUAAAUAUAUUUAAAAAAAUAAAAUACGAAAAUUUAUAUAUAUUGAAAAAUAACACACAAGAAAUAUGCACAAGUAAGUUGGAUAGUGACAAUAUGUUAGUAAGCGAAGGAGACGAACAUAAUGACAUAAAUAAAACUUACAACGACAUAAAUAAAACUUACAACAACAUAAAUAAAACUUACAACGACAUAAAUAAAACUCACAACGACAUAAGUACUUCACUCAAUGCAAAUACUAUACAUAACACAGACGAUGAAAAAAAUCAAAUAUGUCCCGGUUUGAUGAUAACACAUUAUAGUCCAAUUGUUACUACUUAUCUAAUUGACAAUAUGUCAACUGAUGAAUAUAAACAAAAAUAUAAAAACAGUAACGUUUUAAAUAUGAAUACAAAAAAAUGUAUAUUUUUAGAUAUUGGUGGUUCAUUUUUAAAUCAUCAACAUUUUUUUUUUAAAUAUUUAAAUAUUUCUUAUAAUAACGAAUCAUCAAAAGAAGAACGUAUACAAUACGUUACAAAAUAUUUUUUUUUAUUUUUAAGAAAAGCAGAAAAUGUAGCUAUACAAAAUAAAGCAGAAAAUAUAUUUAUUUCUAUUGUUAAUUUAAAAUCAUGUGAUGAACAUAGUCUAUCUAUAUAUGAUCGAAUUUUCAGAGCAGCAUCAGGUAAAGUCUU